ACACGGCGAGAGACUGAAAGAAAAGCAGCAAAGCCCUGGGUAAUCAAGGCCCUAAACGGAAAGUGUCAGGAUCUUGGGCUCCCAAGUUGUGAUGUUGCCACCAGUAUUAGAACACAGUGGUCUCCAAAAUCUUGCCAAUGAAUCCUCCAAGGUGCGUACCAAGUUCCGGAAUAACUGAAAGAACAUCACAUACACAGGCUGGGUACAGUAGCUCACAUCUGUAAUCCCAGCACUUUGGGAGGCCGAGGUGGGAAGACUGCUUAAGGCCAGGAGUUCAAGACCACCCUGGGCAACAUAGUGAGACCUUGUCUCUACCCUCCUCCCCAACCCCCCCCAAAAAAGCACCACCUGUCAAGGAGAAUGGCAUGGCGACAUGGCUGAAACACAGAGCCUUAUCUAAAGACCCACAGGGCUAGAAUGGAGAAAGAACUCUCAGAACAAAUUUCAGAUAGGUAAAAAACCUGGUAAUGUCAGUAGAAAAUGAGAAACAAAUAGUCUGGCUUCCUUCAAGGACUAAAGGACCUGAGUUACUCCCAUACAAUGGUGGAGAGUAGAGCCCACAAGAUUACUGAAUAGCAGAGAUCUUUGCAAUGAAUGCCAGCUUCCAGUACACACUUCCACAGGAAAGUGAAGGUUAAUCUAGCUUAAUUCAGUGCUUUAACUCCUCUAUACCUCUGACAGGAGAAAGAAAACCAGGCUACACUGGAAGUUAAAUCUCAGUUGGACUUAAACUUUUUCUAGUUUUCUUUUUUUUUGGAGACGGAGUUUCACUCUUGUUGCCAGGGCUGGAGUGCAAUGGCACAAUCUCGGCUCACUGCAACCUCCGCCCCCCGGGUUCAAGCAAUUCUCCUGUCUCAGCCUCCCAAGUAGCUGUGAUUACAGGCACCUGCCACCACACUGGCUAAUUUUUUAUUUUUUUUUAUAGAGACGGGGGUUUCACCAUGUUCGCCAGGCUGACCUCAGGUGAUCUGCCCGCCUCGGCCUCCCAAAGUGCUGGGAUUAUAAGCGUGAGCCACCGCACCCGGGACUUUUUCUAGUUUUCAACAUUGUUAUCUAUACAUCCUCAAGUGUAAGCUGUCACAGGAAGAAAAAUGUGUCUUUUUUUUUUUUUUUUUUUUUUUUGAGACAGUCUUGCCCUGUCACCCAGGCUGGAGUGCAGUGGCGUGAUCUCGGCUCACUACAACCUCCACCUCCCGGGUUCAAGCAAUUCUCCUGCCUCAGCUUCCUGAGUAGCUGGGACUACAGGCACCUGCCACCAUGCCUGGCUAAUUUUUGUAUUUUUAGUAGAGACAGGGUUUCACCAUAUUGGCCAGACUGGUCUUGAUCUCCUGACUUUCUGAUCUGCCCACUUCGGCCUCCCAAAGUGCUGGGAUUACAGGUGUGAGCCACCGCGCCCGGCCAAUUAUUUCUUUCUUUCUUUCUUUUUCUUUUUUUUUUUUUUUUUUUGAGACGGAGUCUUGCCCUGUCACCCAGGCUGGAGUGCAGUGGUGCGAUCUUGGCUCACGGCAAGCUCCACCUCCCAGGUUCACGCCACUCUCCUGCCUCAGUCUCCUGAGUAGCUGGGACGACAGAUGCAUGCCACUACGCCUGGCUAAUUUUUGUAUUUUUAGUAGAGGCGGAGUUUCACCAUGUUGGCCAGCUGGUCUCGAACUCCUGACCUCAGGUAUCUGCCUGCCUCGGCCUCCCAAACUGUUGGGAUUACAGACAUGAGCCACCGUGCCUGGCAAAAUGUGUAGUUCUUUUACAUGGGCAAGUUUCUACUAUUAAAAAAAAAAUAACCAUGACAGGGCAUCCUAAGUAGCCUAGUUAGCAGUGGCAGCUACUGCCCUCAGUAGCACGUCAUAAGCAAGAGCAAAGUAAACAUCCAAAUAAAAUGAAUUAAGCCAGCUUGCCACAGCCUAGCAUUGCAAGUCUACAGUAUGCAAUUUCACAUGUCAAAUCAGCAAGAAAAUUCCUAAAGUCUUUAGCUAAAAUUACAGUAAUUAAACAACUCUUUUGAUAAGCACUUGAGUAAGAACCCCAGAUAUUCCUGAAGAAACUGUGUUACAGCUCAAAAGAAUUUAGGAGCCUAGUGUAGUAAGGCCCGUUGUAUUGCCUGACUUUUACUCAGGGCUCAACCCAGUUUCAAGCCUACUUAAUAAUUCGUAUCCCAAGAAAGCCCUUAUUAGCCUCUUUGCUAGCUGAAUAAAUUCUAACUCCACCAUGGCUUCUGUGGAGGCCCAGGCUAUGAUAUGUUGCAGAAAUAGUGUCUGAGGACAAAGAACAGAUAAGAAAGUUAAACUCUGCAUAACCCAUUCAGUAAUGUGUAAUGAAAAUAUCACUCUCAAAAGUGGAAGUCUCCCCUUUCUUCUGAAGGGCAUUAAGGGAUACUCAUGGCUCAGCAAAUUCUGAAGUAGAAAUUGUCACAGUGCUGUAGGUGGAAGAGACUCAACAAUGCCAUCAUGAAAAAAACUUCUGGAAUUAUUCACAACAGUAAAAUUAUGACCAACUUACAGUCCUAGGAGAUGGAUUGCAGAAAUCUUUAAGACCAUCCAUAAGAAAUGGCUUUCAAACUUAUUUGAAAUCAAUUUGACAUCACAACCCACUUUUCAUACAUGUAUAAACUGAAAUUGGUUUCACAAAGUAUUAUUUCCCUUAUAACAUGCUACAUAUUUUCCCUUCUAUUAAAAAAGUUGGCUGUCACCCAUGAAGUUUGUUACCAGUUGGUCAUGACUAGAGGUUAAAAAGCACUGAUCAAUUGCUGUAAUCUUAAAAAAAAAAAAAAAAAGGCAACAUAACACAGUUGCUAAGAGUACUAACUUUGAAGUAGGACUGCCCAGGUUCAAAUCCUGACACCGCUACUUGGCUAUGAAGCCCAAGUCCUAGGUCAUGUCACUAACUUCGGUGCUUCAGUUUCCCCCUCCAGAAAUCAAGAGAAACCUUCUAAUAAAACUUUGUUAUCAAACUGAGUUUUAUUUGUGAGGAUGCCUAAAAAACAUGCCUAUUAAGAAGUGAAGAUGCUGGCCCCAAGAUUCCGUGUAGCUUGCCAGUGAGUGGGAAGAUUGGCCCGGGACCCUGGCUGAUGGCCUUUCCACUAUAUUGCAGCAUUGAGCAUGCAAAUAACAUUGAUUAUAUAAGGGCCUUUGGUGUAAAGCAUGUAAAAUAAAUGUGACAAGCAAUGCUGGAUGAUAAAUGCUUAUUUCCUUACUUUCAGAAAGUAACUAGAGGGCUCAUGCCUUAAAAAAAAAAAAAACUUACCAGAUAAAUAUGAACUAAAGCCUUCAUUUUCUGAGUGGCAAGGAAAAAAAACAAUUUUCAUUAAGAAUUCUUUUUAAUUUAGCCAGUAGAGAUUGAGAUUUGGAGUUAUUUGCCUCUGAUUCUUGUCUAGUUUCAGGCCAAACACUAGCUAGUUGCUAGGACCUUGGCCAAGUCUGCAGUCUCUUUGGGCUCAUUUCUAUAAUCGUAAGAUGAGAGUUAGGCCCAGGAUGUUGUAACACUGCCCCUUUUGAGGUUUUCCCCAAAGGGCAAAACUGACAGACUAAGGGGAAAGUCAAAGAAAAGAAAAACAAAAAUCAUCUCCAAAGAUGCUAGAAAAAAAAAAAGAAUAGCGUUAUUUACUUGCCAUAGUAAGGAUGGUGAAGUACUCACAGCAGGCAAUAGUGGCACAGAAAUUAACUUGGUAUGGCGUCUUGAGUUCAACCUCUAGUUGGCUACCUAAUAGACACGUACAUAAAUGUUUUUGUUUUAGGACAGGGUCUCACUCUAUCACUGGGGCUGGACUGCAGUGGUGCAAUCACAGCUUAUCACAGCCUUGACCUCCCGGGCUCAGGUGAUCCUCCCACCUCAGUCUGGCAAGCAGCUGGGACUACAGGCGUGCAUCACCAUGCCUGGCUAGUAUUUUUGUAGAGGCAGGGUUUUGCCAUGUUGUCCACUGGUCUCAAACUCCCGGGCUCAAAAGAUCCACCUGCCUUGGCGUCCCAAAGUACUGGGAUUAUAGGCGUGAGCCAUGGCACAAGGCUCACAUACAUAACUUUGAGCUAAUAAUUUCAUUUCUUUUUUUUUGAGACGGAGUCUCGCUUUGUCGCCCAGGCUGCAGUACAGUGGUGUGAUCUCAGCUCACUGCAAGCUCCACCUGCCGGGUUCACGCCAUUCUCCUGCCUCAGCGUCCCGAGUAGCUGAGACUACAGGAGCCUGCCACCAUGCCCGGCUAAUUUUUUUUGUAUUUUUAGUAGAGACGGGGAUUCACCGUGUUAGCCAGGAUGGUCUCGAUCUCCUGACCUCAUGAUCCGCCCGCCUCGGCCUCCCAAAGUGCUGGGAUUACAGGCGUGAGCCACCACACCCAGCCAUAAUUUCAUUUUUUUCUGAUCAGAUGUUCUGUCACUUAAGGGCACUUGAGAUGAUUAAAUAUGAAUGUGCAUAGUACAUGACCAGGUAUCCAAAAAGACUUCAAUAAACCUUGGUUCCUUCUAACUAAAAGGGCUGUAUAAACAUGCUAAGGUGUUAUAAUUUUAGGGGCAGUUUCCAGCAUUUCCUCCCGGGUAUUAUUACUUGCCACCUCCAAAGCAUUAGCUCUGAAGGCAUAACCUUUUCUUUUUUUUUCUUCUGAAAGAGACAGGGUCUCUUUGCAUUGCUCAAGCUGGAGUGCAGUAGCUAUUCACAGGCAUGAUCAUCAAGCACCACAGCCCCAAACUCCUGGGCUCAAGUGAUCUUCCUACCUCAGCAUAGCUGGGACAACAGGGUCAUGCCACUGCACCUAGCUGGCAUAGAAAUUUUUUUUUUUUGAGACACUGUCUCAUUCUGUUGCUCAGGCUGGAGUGCAGUGGCACACUGCAGCCUCAAUCUUUCGGGCUUAAGCAAUCUUCCCACCUCAGCCCCCUGAAUAGCGAGGACCACAGGCGUGCACCACUAUGCCCCGCUAAUUUUUGUAUUUUUUGUAGAGAUGGGUUUUGCCAUGUUGCCCGGCUGGUCUCAAACUCCUAGGCUCAAGCAGUCCACCCACCUCGGUCUCCUGAAGUGCUGGGAUUACAGGCACGAGCCACAGUGCUUGGCCAGCAUAGCCACUUUAAAAUGAAGUGUGGGUUAAGGAGUAAACUGGCAAGUUUGCCCCAAAUUCGAUUUCAUGAUGAUCUUGACAUCUACACAGUGGUGUCACUUAACAGGAGUAUGUUCUGAAAAACGCCUCGUUAGGCGACUUCAUCGUUGUGCAAAUAUCACAGGAUGUACUUACACAAGUACAUGGCAGAGCCUACUACACACCUAGGCUAUGUAGUAAAGCCUAUAUUCCUAGGCUACAAACACGUACAGCACGUUACCGUACUAACUACUGUAGGCAAUUUCAACAACACUAAAUAUUUGCUGAACACAAAAGAUACAGUAAAAAUCACUGCUGUAUAUGCAGUUCUUGCUACACGUAAACUGUUUAGCUAAAUAACAUUAAUUCCAGAGAAGGCAAAGCUUACCAAAUACAAAUUCUACAUGGGAGAGUGAUAGAGAUAUAAGGCAGAAUAAAACAUGCAAAAUUGCAGUCAGGCGCGGUGGCUCACACCUGUAAUCUCAGCACUUUGGGGGGCCAAGGUGGGCAGAUCACCUGAGGUCACAAGUUCAAGACCAGCCUGGCCAACAUGGCGAAACCCCAUCUCUACUAAAACUACAAAAAUUAGCCAUGCGCGGUGGAGGGCACCUGUAAUCCCAGCUACUCAGGAGGCUGAGGGAGGAGAAUCGUUUGAACCCGUGAGGUAGAGGCUGCAGUGAGCUGAGUUUGUGCCAUUGCACUCCAGCCUGGGCAACAAGAGUGAAACUCCGUCUCAAAAAAAAAAAAAAAAAAAAAGUAAACAUGCAAAAUUGCCUUCAUCAGUUUAAAGUGAAAGUCUUUCUAAACCAUAAAGAAUGAUUGUUACUUUUAAAAUAUAUCUAAUGACAUGAACCUACAGUGAGACUCAUCAUUGGACAAAAAGUCACGUCUGUUCGUCUGUAAUAGGCCUAAUAUUUCUGAAUGACUCAACUCCUAAAAAUUAGCCCAUCUCAAAAUCAGUGACCAAGAUUCUGAUCUUCUCAAAUUAUUUUACUCUUCAGUUGUAGUUUUUAUGCAUCUUUAAAUGGCCUUCCUAAUAUUUUCACCAUUUUUUAAGAAGUCUCUACUGAUACAUAUUUAAGCUACAAGGUAUGAGUAUAUUCUACCAACCGUGUCAAAAGAACUUACUGAUCUUUGCCAACCAAAGAUUAACAAAUGAAUGUACAAAUAUGUUGAAAUAAAAAUCUCUCGAUUCUAUUCUGUUAGAAUGCAAUUUAAAAAAUUAUUAUUAAUAUCUACCUAAAUGCCAUUAAGAAAAAACUGCCAAGUUCUAACUACAAAAUAGGUGCAAUAUUUAAAAUUUCUGAUCUCAGAAAAUAAUUUAAAAACUUAAAGACAAAGCUGAUAGAUUUAAAUCCUCCCCCCAUCCCAAAACUUUACUUACACUCUUUUCCUCAGGAAAGGUGUCCUCUCUCCUACUGAGUUCUUAGCGGUAUUCUAUAUCCUCUUCCUCUAGUGCAAGGAAGCCCAAAAAGCAGUCCAAAGGAGAUACCACAGGCUGAGCCCGCUUUUAAAAGAUGCAGAGCUUUUCUAAAGCAAGGAGACGUUUCAAGUUGGGACUAAAUGCUGAGAAUAAUCUUUUUUUUUUUUUUUCUUUUUUGAGACAGUCUUGCUCUGUCACCCAGGCUGGAGUGCAGUGGCGUGAUCUCCGCUCACUGCAACCUCCGCCUCCCAGAUUCAAGCGAUUCUGCUGCCUCAGCCUCCCAAGUAGCUGGGAUUACAGGCCUAUACCACCAAGGCUGGCUAAUUUUUGAAUUUUUAUUUUCAUUAUUUUUUGAGACAGAGUCUUCCUGUCACCCAGGCUGGAGUGCAGUGGCACAAUCUCAGCUCACUGCAACCUCUGCCCUGCAGACUCAAGUGAUUCUCCUGCCUCAGCCUCCUGAGUAGCUGGGAUUACAGGCAUGUGCCACCACACCUGGCUAUUUUUUUUCCCCCAAGACGGAGUCUUGCUCUGUCACCCAGGCUGGAGUGCUGUGGCGCGAUCUCGGCUCACUGCAACCUCUGCCUCCCAGGUUCAAGCAAUUCUCCUACCUCAGCCUCCUGAGUAGCUGGGAUUACAGGUGCCCACCACCAUGCCUCACUACUUUUCUUCUAUUUUUAGUAGAGAUGGGGUUUAACCAUGUUGGCCAGGCUGGUCUCAAACUCCUGACCUUGUGAUCCACCCACCUCGGCUUCCCAAAGUGCUGGGAUGACAGGCGUGAGCCACUGCACCCAGCCAUUUUUUUGUAUUUUCAGUAGAGAUGGCGUUUCACUAUGUUGGCCAGGCUGGUCUUGAACUCCUGACCUCAAGUGAUCCACCCGCCUCAACCUCCCAAAGUGCUGGGAUUACAGGUGUGAGCCACUGUGCCCAGCCUAAUUUUUGUAUUUUUAAUAGAGACAGGGUUUCACCAUAUUGGCCAGGCUGGUCUUGACCUCCUGACCUCAAAUGAUCUGCCCGCCUCAGCCUCCCAUAGUGCUGGGAUUACAGGCAUGAGCCAACGCGCCUGGCUAGAAAAUAAUCUAUUCUUUAAGGCCACUUUGAUAACAUAAUUCAUUACUCAGCACAUACCAUUUUACUGGUCUUAAGAAAUGAUCAUUUUUUCUCAAUUCAAAAUGUUAUUUUUACUAUGAUUUUUAUUUAAAAAGUAGUGUCCUGAUUUAAAUUUUGGGAUACCAGAGUCCUACUGAAUUCUGCCUUUUCAUUUCCCCUUAGAAAACAAGUAUAGGUCGGGCGUGGUGGCUCAUGCCUGUAAUCCUAGCAUUUUGGGAAGCUCAGGCAGGUGGAUCACCUGAGGUCAGGAGUUCAAGACCAGCCUGGCCAACAUGGUGAAACCCCGUCUCUACUAAAAAUAAAAAAAAUUAGCCGGGUGUGGUGGCGGGUGCCUGUAAUCCCAGCUACUCGGGAGGCUGAGGCAGGAGAAUCUGUUGAACCCAGAAGGCGGAGGUUGUGGUGAGCCAAGAUCGCACCACUGCACUCUUAGCCUGGGCAACAGAGUGAAACUCUGUCUCAAAAAAAAAAAAAAAAAAAAAAAAGGGAAAAAAGAAAAGAAAAGAAAACAACUAUAAAUGAAGCCUUGUUUCAUAUUCACAUUUUAGGAUCAAGAAGAAUCCUACAUAGCUAUUUUUUCAGAUUAUCUUCUGACUUAAAAAUCAGUUCUCAAGUCAUUCAGUCUCAGUUAUUUUACUAAUCUGAGAUUGGUUAGUAAAAUAAUAGCUAUUGUGAUACUAUAAAACCAAAAUUAUUUUGAACUCACUAAUAGUAAGAUUGAAUGUUUACAAACAGAAGCAUAGAGUCCCCAACUUAAUUUUUUGACUUUACAAUGGUGUGGAAAUGACAGGCAUUCAGUAGAAAGCAUACUUCAAGUACCUAUACAAUCAAUGGUUUUCACUUUCAGUGUUCAACAAAUUACCUGAGAGAUCCAACGCUUUAGUAUAAAGUAGGCUUCAUGUUCUUUGAUUUUGCCCAACUGUAGGGCUAAGUGUUCUGGGCACAUUUAAUGUAGGAUAGGUUAAGCUAUAAUGUUCAUUAGGUCAGGUGUAUUCAGUGCAGUUUUGACUUCGUAUUUUCAACUUGCA
rnacentral:lncRNA from 10 species